GAGUGUUUAAAACAUUUUUAUUUCAAAUGAAUGUGAAGAAAAAAUGUGAUUAACUGACCGCUUAUUUCAAAGAUGACCACUUAAUUACAAACUGUUAUACACACACAAACUGACCAUUAUGUAUGUCCGUUCAACACUCCACAGCUCUCCUCUCAUCUUCUUUGGUCUCCACCAUAAUGCUUUCCAUUUUGUUUGUUUUUUUUUUCUGUUCAUUCUUUAAAAAGGUCAAAAUAACAAAGUGAAUGAGAAUAUUCUAGAUAUUAUUGGAUAUUAUUUGAUAUUACAUAUGUCACAGCAUUGUCAAUAUCUGUAUUUGCUGCUGGAUAUCUUCAUUGAUUGUUGACACAGAUGAUAUCACUAGAUAUCAGUGAUAGGGCUGUUAUCACAGGGUUUCGGUGAUACAGCCUAUAUCACCAGAUAUCAGUGAUGGGGCUGCUAUCACCGGGUAUCGGUGAUACAGCCUAUAUAACCAGAUAUCAGUGAUGGGGUUGUUAUCAUCAGCUGAGUUUCAUACAACGGAUAUCACUACCCAUCAUUCAUAGGGUUGUUAUCAUUAGAUAUCACUGAUUUCAUUGAACAGCUGUUAAUAUCAGCUGGCGUAUAGAGUGCUGAAAUCACUAGCUGCUGUAGAGUGAGAGAUAUCAUUUGCUAUCAUAUUGAAAACUGAUAUCACUAGCAUCACAAAGAGCUGAUAUCACACAUUGUUGUUGACAGAGCUGAUAUCACUCACUACAGCAAAUAACUUUACACACCCCUGAUAUCCCUAAAUAUCAUGAUAUUACAAGAUGUAUUCAUAUCAGAUAAAUUCUGCCGAUAUCGCAAGGUUAUUUGAUAUCACUAGAUAUUGCUGAAAUCAUAGAAAUAUCUCACUACCAUUGAUAAAAUCAAACACUUGUGCUGCAUAUUUCUUGUGGAAAACUCGGAAAAUCAGACGUGAACUGACUAUUUUCUAUCAACCGAUAGGUGAGGGUUUCAAGCAAAAGCAUCCCUUUUUUUUUGUUCAUAUUUGCACUUCUGGGUAAGACAACAGAUUUGGAAGAGGUUUUCUCACCCUUAACAGUAGAUACCUGUAAUUCAAUGGGGUCCGUUUUACUCAUUUCUCAGGUAAGAAGUGUUGUAAAUUUAGCAGAACAACAACAACAAAAUAAUAGGUGGGUAUGGCGAGGGUUUAUGAGAUAACUGUCUAUAGAAGUGGAGAGGGAGUUCUUCAACCUCAAUGAUGGGGAUAGAAGUGGUGGUGAGCUCUGUCAUUUCGUCGUGAAUCAGGGAGUUGGAAAGGGUAGUUUUCACACAAAUUAGGGUCUGUUGAGAAUCUAUCUGAGGUUUUCAAACCAGUGUUAUGUAUGUAUACAUGAAUGCUUUAUAUAUAUAUAUAUUUAUAUACAUACAGGGUGUCUACAAAUUAUCUUUACAGCUUCCACAAUUUAUUGUAGUUGAGAUCAAUCAAUCAACUUCUUUGUAGCUAAUGGAGCCCAUGUGGAAAUAUUCUGAUGUUUCUAAUAAAACUUUGUUUCUUUGCUGAUGUUUUCCAGUAAUCUCUGGUGAAUUCUCCUUAUUUUUCAUUUUUUCCUGAAUUUUUCAAAUUGUAAAGGUAAUUUAUGGACACCCUGUGUAAAUUACAGAUGCAAGUGUGUAAUAUAUAUCUAUAUAUGUAUGUAUGUAUGUAUGUAUGUAUGUAUGUAUGUAUGUAUGUAUGUAUGUAUAUAUGUAUGUAUGUAUGUAUGUAUGUAUGCAUGCAUGCAUGCAUGUAUGUAUGUAUGUAUACAUGCAUGCAUUAACACAGGCAUAAUCAUAUGCAUUGUGUAUGAGUAUAUGUGUGUAUAUAUGUACAUAUAUACACACAUAUAUAUGCAUGUGUAUAUGUACAUAUAUAUACACAUAUAUAUGCAUGUGUAUAGGGACAUAUAUACAUAUACAUAUAUAUAUAUAUAUAUAUGUAUAUAUGUAUGUAUAUAUAUGUAUAUAUGUAUGUAUGUUUAGUAUUCCAGAGCCACAAUUUGAAGACUACGAUAUUAACAGUAACACUGUUUCGUAUGGCCCCUAAAGGGCCACUGUGCAGCAGACUUCCAGGUGCCAAGCAACAGAGGCCUUAGAGUCUGCAUGCAUGCACACACAUAUCCACACACAUGUGCGUGUGCGUGUAUGUGUGUAAAUUUGUUGAAGAGAUGAAUGUGUAUAUUUAUGUCUUGAUAUAACUGUGAGAUGUUGACCUCGGUAACCACAGUCGACUCAAAGCAGCAAAGUGUCUACUGAUAGGGGCAAAACCCCUGAAUUCAAGGGUUUUUUGGUGAUAUCAACCGACUGACAGGGGAGGGACCAUGAGGGUGCAUAUGAAUAUAUAUAUAUACUCAUAUGUGAGUAUAUAGGUUUAUAUACAUAUACAUGUAUAUAUAGAUGUGUGUGUGUGUGUGUGUGUAUAGGCAUAUACAUGUAUGAAUGUGUGUGUGCAUAUAAAUAUGUAUAUAUUCAGAUGUGAGUAUAUAUGUUUAUAUAUAUAUACAUGUAUAUAUGUGUGUGUAUAUAUAGGCAUAUAUAUAUGCCUAUAUAUACAUAUACACACACAUAUACAUGUUUAUACGUGUAUAUAUGUAUAUAUACAUACAUGUAUAU
rnacentral:lncRNA from 1 species